rnacentral:lncRNA from 1 species
GUUAUCGUAUGUGAAGCUUAUAAAAUGAGGUAAUUUUCUAAUCUCCUUGACUAGGUGUAAUGUUAUUUAUUUGAUUUGGCCAGAGUGGGACAGUCUGAUGUCUAAGGCUACUUAUUAAAUGCUGGAAUCCAAUAAAACACACAUUUACAGCUUCUGUAUUAUUUAUCUCAUGUUAACAUAAAGGGCUAAGCUUUUUGUUGAACAUAAUCUUUACCCUAUGUAUUUGUGUUUGUGUACAUACAUGAGUUGUUGUUGCUGCCCUCUUGGGCUCUUGAAAAUACAGCUAUUUAUUUCACAUGUGGUCUCUAGGUGUGUGUGUGUGUGUGUGAGUGUGAGAGAGAGAGAGUGUGAUGUGUAUGUCUGAAUGUUCUGUGACAGGGAUUGUCUGGGGACCGUUUCUUUGAAAUGCAUGAAAACACAUUUUUAUACUGUGUAACGAUGGUAAGAUUGAAAUGUUGUGGACUUGUUUGUCCAGAUAUGUGGGUGGAGAUUUUUUAGAGACGUUUACUUGGCACAGGGAAAUAAAGAACAAAGAUUCACCCGAUCAUGGGGUCAUCUAAGUGAUUUACUGAUUGGAUGAAAGAGAGAUGUUACCAUGGGGAUGAUGUAUGGAGGGGAAGGUUUGAUACAAGUCUUCUGGAAUGGGAGGAGUCUUCAUACUCCCUCCAUGGGGUCCUGAACUAUCACGUUUCAUUCCCCUUAGUCCCGUUUACCUCCUCUCCUUAAAACUCUUUUGCCUUAGACUUCACGUAUGUUUCCAUCGCUGCUCUUUCUCUUGGUUCUCUUUUUUAUUGUCGCCGUCUGGUGAAAACCUCAUCUCCAAAAACAGAAACAUUUCAGGAAAUUGAAAAGAUUAGAACAUUUCCCCAUGAACAAACAUACAAUUAUGAAACUUCCGAAACUAUUUUGAAUAGGAUUUAUUGGUCCCAGAGUCAUGAAAGGUUCAGAGUACAUUGAGGGGAGUUAGUGCUUUAAAUAAAUGUCAAAAUAAAACAUUUGGCAAAACAUUUUGUUUGGUUUUCAUCAGACAGCGAGUGACAUUCUGUAAACGGCUUGUAUAGUUUUUUUCAUAACAAUUCUAUCGGCCAAAUCCCUCCUGGAUAUGAAUUGCAAUAGGACUGGAUAUCUCAUGAUGGAUUGAACAUCUGUUUAUUGUGGUGGUGAAAAUAUUGUUUUAUUACAAUGUUUGUGAUAAUUUCACAGACAUUUUGGAUCACUACCUUAGCUUUGUGGUUGAUACUGGGUUGUUUACACAGAACGUACAUGUUAUUCAACAACAACGCCAGUACUUAUUUGCAUAGCAGGCACACAAAUGCAAACUUUACCUCACAUGUCACAUACAAUUCACUUGCACGUUUGUAUAUUUAACAAUACUUUAACUACAUUUUACAACUGCUAAUGGACUAGCUUGUGGGCCAAGCCACCUGUCUACAAAUAUUCAAUUUCACCAGGAUGUUUGAAAAAUAUACAACAUAUUUUGCUAUCUUUGUUUGCCAAUUGUCCAGCAUAGUCUUGUUAGGUUCAGGAACCUAUUUCUGCUGGUGAGGAAUGGCUUGGACAAGCUGAGGUACCCACAUUUCAACCUCCAAACAUGUUCCUCCUCCAUGUUAAUAAUACAUCUGCUAAAUGUGUGUUGAGAAAGUUUGAUAAGAGUUUAAUUCGUCAAAGCAUUUUUACAGAGACAAAGAUGUUUGUGUUCUGUAGGAAAAUGGUUUAUUUCAGACAUUCACCACAAAUGAUUGGUUUAUGUUCAUUGUACUAUUCCUGGUAUCUGUUUAGGUUAGUUUGCACCUAAUGGAGGACUUCUUAAACCAACCUCCCCUCCUCUCCAAAAAGAAAGGAGGACCAAGUCACUCUUCAUAUAAUUAAUUAAAUUGCCUUUAUUUGUAUGGCACGUUCAAUGUAACCAACAUUUAAAAACUCCUCUCUGCCAGGGUUUCUCCCAGCUAGAGCUGUGUUACUUUUCUCUGAGAGCACAGAGAAAACAACGCUUUAACCUUCUCAUCAAUCUGGAAGUUACAGCCCCACACAGUCACUAGAACAUUGGGAAUAGUGCUUAAAUUGAUCUCGAAAUUAAAAACAUUAAUACGAUACUGUUAUCUGUCUCGUAACAUACUUUUGCUCUGUCCUGUGCAUUUCCUUUGGGUGAGGCACGUGGUGUGAUUUGGGGAGACAAACAGGACAUAUUAGGACUAUAGUUUUGUGUGGACUCAGCGCCUGGGACCCUGAUGUAGGUAUGCUAUGAGCAUGUUGCCAUUGAAACCCCUGUUGCAUGAAUUCCUUUAACAAAAUGCCAUGUGUGUCCUGUAAUGGUUGUGGUAUUAACAUUUUGCAGAUUUUAUUAUAAAAAAAUACACUAAAGAAUGG